AGUAAGGUCUGCAGCAUUUUCAAGCAAUUCCAAGGAUGGUCAAUUUAUUUUGCUAUUACCCAAACAAAUAGUAAACUAUAGUGAGUUGUUUAUUUAAAAAGCAAGUGAAAUGGAGUUACGGAUGAGAUUAGAGAAGAGCAAAGUUUACUUUCGGAUCUGAUGUUGCUGUUUUUAUAGCUUUUCUACCACUUUCCUAGAAAUGUCGGAAGAUUACACAGGCAAGCAAAGCCUAUUAAUGGAGAGGCAAUGCAACAUCAACCUAAGACGCACACCUCCAGAAUACCGAAGAGUCCUAUUGUGUUUGAACACACUACUUCAGUGAAUUUAAUACUGGAAAACACCACCGACAGAUCUUUGGUCAAACUUUUUCAAAAUUGUAAGUUUUGACUUUGCCCGUCGCCUUGCCCGGUCUCCCGUCUUCACUUCGCCCGUCUUCACCUCGCCCGUCUUCACCUCGCCCAUCACUCCGUCAUCGCACCGUGGUUGCGCCGUCUUCGCAUCGUGGUCGUCACGUUUUCGCUUCGCCCGUCGCCCCCGGCUUCACCACGUGGUCGCCCCGUCUUUGUCUCGCCCGUCCCCCCGUCUUCGC